rnacentral:lncRNA from 1 species
AGAAGGUGGCGUUGAAGUGGUCGUAGAGGCCGGCGUCCAGGGCGUUCCAGGUGCGCGCCGCCCGCGCCAGCGCCGCGGGGAUGGCGGCCAGGCGCGAGCUGGCGGCGCGCGCGUUGAGCUUGGCGUAGAGCACGUCGUCCAGGUCCCAGGCCAGUAGGCGCCGCAGCAGCACUAGCGACUCGUCGAAGUACUCGGCGAUCAUGACGAGCGAGAAAACCUCCUCCACCUGGCGGAUGAGGCCCGCCAGGUAGGCGGCGUCGUCGCGCGGGCUGCGCUCAUUGUCGCCGCCCAGGUCGUAGGCCAGCGUGUUGUGUGCGAACAUGGCGAAGUGCUCGCCAGCGCGGUAGUAUGCCUCGGGCGCGCGCAGGAAGGCCUCGAGCGAGGCGUUGGGUACGCGCCGGAAGGCCGGGCAGUACUGGUUGUAGUAGCUGAAGAGCGACUCGAACAUGGCGGCCGGCUCGCGCAGGAUGGUGACAUAGACGGUGCUGGGCGGCAUGAGGCGCUCCAGCUCCGCACGGUCGAAGCGCAGGUGGCUGGCCAGCACGUGCGGCGGCCGCGUGGCCGGGUGCACGAAGUGCGCCGAGAAGUUGCGGGGGUAGCAGAACUGGUGCUCGCAGCUCGGGUGCGGCAGGGCCACCGUCAGGUUGUGGCGCUCGGCAAAGCGAAACAGGAUGUUCUGCACCGUCGUGCCUGCCGUCUUGUGAGUCUUCAGGAAGGCCACAGUCAUGUGCUUGGGGCGCGGCGGCGAGUUCCGCAGAGGAGGGCAGCUCAAGGGGAACAGCUUGGGGUACCUGCCAGGCCCAGGGAGUGUGC